rnacentral:lncRNA from 1 species
CCCUCAUGAACUCACUCUUGAAAUUAGAGCAUGGAACUGAGCUCACAUGUUGCAGACUCACUUAUGUGUUAUCACAAUUCAACAACCUCAGCAAUUGUUUAGAACAUAGACCAACUAAAGGUUUUUUGCGGAUGUGUGUGUGUAUUUUACCAUUGGUGUUGCUUAAAAUUUCAGGCACAUGGUGAUGAGAAAAAGCAGAUGAAUUUCUAGUCACCUUAAAAAUUAUUAUUUUAAAUUCUCUACAGCCAAUGCACGUCCUUAUUGCCCAUACCUGAGACUGAUUGCUCCCGCCCUUGUUACACCACUGAGUAAAAACCACACUGGGAGCUGGGAGUUAGGAUUUCUGGGACCUGGUCUCUUUUCUGCCUGUAACUUCCGGGUUCUUAACUGGGCAAUUCUCGUUUCCUCCUGGGGCCUCCGUUUUCCUAGCUGUAAAUGAAGGGGGCUGGACCUGGGUCAUCCCUAAAAUUUCUUUUCUGCUCCAAACGCUGGUUUGAAAAGUCAUCUUUCACCUGAGAGAGGAGACUGGAGAACACUUUUGGAAUCUGAAUUUGUCUCUGUUCUGGAAGCUACACUGAUUUAUGGGGACGAGCCAGGGAAAGUAGAUCAUCUGCCUUUGAUUUAUGUCAGAGCCAUGAUGUGCUCAGGCUUCUGCCGUCCCGAGGAGCUGGGGAUGAAGGAGAGAAGGUUUCGGGGUUGAGCGUGAGGGGGAGGAAGAGGAGGAAGCUAUGACCUGCUGAGGGCAGUGAUGAUGGUGCCAGCAAACAUUUAUUGAGUGCUUAUUACAUGCUUGGGCAUGGGAUCGUCAUAACAGAAUGGUGAUGAAGACAGUACUCGUUGUCCCUACUUUACAGAUGGAGAAAUUGAAACUGUGCUCAAGGUCGUAUGGUUGGUAAAUAGUGGUCGUGGGAUUUGAACCCAGGUCAUCUGGCUCCAGACUCCGUCUUUUAACUGCUGUGGUAGAAGGUUAAGGGUGUGAGUUGCUGUUCUCUCCUAGCCUUUGGGUGUCUGCUCAGUGCUGGCCGUGUCCAGAGCAGUCAGUUACUGGGUCUGGCAUUGUAGGAAGGGCAUGUGAGGCUCUGAUGAAGGUAGGGUUUGGCUUUGUUUCAGGUCUUUAUUGUUUCUAGCACAUUGUACAAUCGCUAAUUGUUAAUGUUCAGUGGGGGCUUUGAGUCUCUGAUCUAUCUUACUCCCAUUUGAGGCUAGAGAAAUUGAAGCUCCAAGCAGGACAAGUGGCUUGUUUAAGAUCACCCAGAUUUAAGGGCACCAGUGGAACCAGGAUCUCACCACUCGUCCUGCCUUAACAGGUGAACUCGCCCCCAUGACACUAAGGGUCUGGCCUGGCUUCUUCCCACAAUCUCCACCCUUGACUCUGGGGUUCCCAGAGCACAUCUUUCUAGGAAGUAUUCAGGCCUGUGCCCUGUUGUGGCUCUUGGCUGCCCUCAGAGUCAAGUACUUGCUUAAACAGAGAUGUGGCAUUCAACCCUUUCCCACCCCACCCCUGGAACGUUUUGUCCAUGGGUGGUCUCUGUUGUUCCAGUACUAAAAUGGGUUUCAUAAUGAUUUUGAAAUUUAUCUACUUUACAAAGCACUAUUUCUUUCUGUAAAUAACCUGAAAGGCUUACAUUACACAUUGUUAUUCCACUCAUUCAGCAAAUAUUUGAUCACUUACUGUAUCUUUUCUAGGCACUGGAGUCAAAGAUGGACACAGUUCCUGCCUUCACUAAGCUUAUAGUCUAGAGGGGGACAGAUAUUACGUAAGCCACAAAAUAGUGGUGUAAUUACACUUGCCAUUAUUUAAUCUGCAUUUGUGUGCAAGAGUAUGGAGAUUUAUUUUCCUAAGUGUUACGGGCAGUCCAAAAAGCACUAUGAGCUGUUUUCUAACCAUAGCUUUUUCCUGAAAUCUUAUAUUUCAUUUUUAUUAUAUCUCACUUUGUUUAAAAAAUGUGGCAUAUUUUACAGUAUAUUGUCAAAAAUGUCACAUUGUUCUUUAUCGAAAACAAAUGAAAUUUACCUUGUAACCAAGUCUCUCUUUCUGAAAUAGCUAUAGAUCUGAGCAGAGAACAAUGGAAGGUAAUACAUUUUCUACUGUGAUUGCCUUAACAUUCAUCAUCUUUCCUCAGUAUCUUUUUUUUAUUAAAAAUUAAAGGUUAGAAAGUCCAUUUUGUUUGUAUUUCAGUCAAAGUUUGUUGAAGAUUGCAACUGGCUGGGGCUUCCCUGAAUCUGUCUGUAAUGAGUUGGAAUACCUGGUAUAUGUUAUGAAGCCACAGUUGAUUUUCUUUCUGGAUGUUUCCAUUGUGGCACGCCAAUUUUCCAAAGCAGCUUCACAGUGCACCGUGGUAAUCCCAUUUUACAGAGCAGAACAAGUAAGGUGAUGUUUCUUGGGUAAGACAACCGAGAACAGGAUUACUGACUAUAAGUUUGUGAAUCUUCUCACGGGUGAUAUUUAUUCCUCUGAAACCUAGACAGACCUGAGUUGGAAUCACACCAGCUCCACUUUCACUCAUCCAUUCAUCCAACAAGUCUUUAUUGAGCGUUUUCCACAAGCCUGAUGCUACUAAAUGCUGAGAACACACAAAGAAGCCCAAGUCUCAGCUUUCAGGAAGCUCAUAUUCUAAUUGGGUUGACCACUACAGACAAGUCAAUAAAUAAGAGGAAAACUUCAAGUUAUGAUAAGGACAGUGGAGUAAAAUACCAGGGUUGUGGGAAUAAGACUAACUUGGUGAUGGCGAGGGUCACAACUUUUUUGAGGAAGUAACAAUUAAGUUGAGUGUCAAAGGAAAAGAAGAAACCAGCCGGUUGAGGACUGAAGAGAGAGCAUCACACACACACAAAGGCUCUCAGAUGAAAGAAACGCAGCUUGAACUGGUCAAAGCAGAAAGAAAAAUUACUGGCCAACGUAAUGAGAAAACAAGAGUGGAGCUGAGCUUCAGGCAUGGCGAGAGAUAACAGCGAAGCCCUCAGCCGUCCUCAGUGCCUCCCGGGCCUCCAAGAGGAAGAAUUGUAAUAACAAUUGUGAACUUCUUUGGCCUCCUCCAAAGGAAAGGGUGAGGUAGAAAGAAAUGGUCUCAAAGCUCGGGCUGUCUGGUUCCAGCCCACACUUCACAACCUCGCUGCUACGCCAUGAGUCAUCGCGAAGAGCAACAUCACUUCCCUCUGACUGUGGGCGUUGCCACUCUCCUGAGCCUUCCUUGGCCAGGAGCGCCUCUGUGGCCCGCUUCACUCCCCAUCAGGGAUUAGCUGAGCCAUCUCUGAGACUGCAUGAUGUGCUGGUCACUGAACAUUGGAUGUCCAACUGCUCUGUUGAAGAAUAGCAUCAACAAUGAUGUGAAUUUUCUCUUCCAUUGUCCCAUUCAGUCCUAGAUUUUUUCAUUUCCUUCUUGUUCAAGAUAAUGAGGUCCUAUCAUGCCAAGCACAUGGAAAC